ensembl:lncRNA
CGGCUCGCUUGGCCGCGGUGAAAUGAGGGCUAAAACGUGAGACUGGGAUUUUUUUCAUAAUUGUUUUUCUUCACCCAAGGACAAAUGGAUCAAGCAGAGGUAUCGUUAACUUUUCUUCGCGUGCGACUUUACAUUACAACAAAAAAUAAAAUAUCACCAACUUAUUAUGACGUUUUCAUAUGACUGCAGACACCAAAUGCAGAAGUGGUACAUACUUUAUCAAUCUUUUAAAACAGCCCCCUUUUAGAAAAUAUUCAACACGAGUGUCUGAAAGAGGUUUAGACUGAGUUACUAACGCACAAAUAUGCUAAGUUGUCGUUAAGUCAUGUCAGGUUUUUGAACAACAGAAACAGCGAGGAAGAAAAUGCGGUUCUGCCUAAACACUCCGGUUAAUGUCGGCUGUCUGCACAGGAUGAAACAGAUGUCUGUGUAACAGCUGUAACCACAGCACAGAGAGCUUGCAGAAACACUGUUAUAACAUUGUUAUAACUACGGACCCCAAAAGAAAGAUAUCCAUCCAUCUGAACAAACCACAAAACUCUUCCUGGACUUCAGCUCAGCAUUUAAUCACAUCAUCCCAGAGAUCCUGGUCCAGAAACUGUCUCACCUGGGACUCUCCACCCCCAUCUGCCUCUGGAUCAAGGACUUCCUGACAAACAGACCACAGUCUGUCAGACUCGGCCCCCACCUGUCCAGCACCAUCACACUCAGCACCGGGUCUCCACAAGGAUGUGUUCUGAGUCCCCUCCUGUUUACGCUCUACACAUCCGACUGCUCCCCUACCCAUCUCUCAAACACCAUCAUAAAGUUUGCGGAUGACACCACAGUGGUUGGACUCAUCUCAAGGGGGGAUGAGUCGGACUACAGAGAUGAGGUCAACAGACUGACUGAGUGGUGUUCAGUUAAUAACCUCCAACUGAACACCACGAAAACUAAAGAACUUAUCUUCGACUUCAGGAAGGGCAGAGCAGACCCGGCC